UACCUAUACGUUGCCUCGGCGGAUCAGCCCGCGCCCCGUAAAACGGGACGGCCCGCCCGAGGACCCCUAAACUCUGUUUUUAGUGGAACUUCUGAGUAAAACAAACAAAUAAAUCAAAACUUUCAACAACGGAUCUCUUGGUUCUGGCAUCGAUGAAGAACGCAGCAAAAUGCGAUAAGUAAUGUGAAUUGCAGAAUUCAGUGAAUCAUCGAAUCUUUGAACGCACAUUGCGCCCGCCAGUAUUCUGGCGGGCAUGCCUGUUCGAGCGUCAUUUCAACCCUCAAGCUCAGCUUGGUGUUGGGACUCGCGGUAACCCGCGUUCCCCAAAUCGAUUGGCGGUCACGUCGAGCUUCCAUAGCGUAGUAAUCAUACACCUCGUUACUGGUAAUCGUCGCGGCCACGCCGUAAAACCCCAACUUCUGAAUGUUGACCUCGGAUCAGGUAGGAAUACCCGCUGAACUUAAGCAUAUCAAUAAGCGGAGG
rnacentral:rRNA from 1 species